AGACCCGAAACCCGGUGAUCUAGCCAUGGGCAGGUUGAAGGUUGGGUAACACUAACUGGAGGACCGAACCGACUAAUGUUGAAAAAUUAGCGGAUGACCUGUGGCUGGGGGUGAAAGGCCAAUCAAACCGGGAGAUAGCUGGUUCUCCCCGAAAGCUAUUUAGGUAGCGCCUCGUGAAUUCAUCUCCGGGGGUAGAGCACUGUUUCGGCUAGGGGGCCAUCCCGGCUUACCAACCCGAUGCAAACUGCGAAUACCGGAGAAUGUUAUCACGGGAGACACACGGCGGGUGCUAACGUCCGUCGUGAAGAGGGAAACAACCCAGACCGCCAGCUAAGGUCCCAAAGUCAUGGUUAAGUGGGAAACGAUGUGGGAAGGCCCAGACAGCCAGGAUGUUGGCUUAGAAGCAGCCAUCAUUUAAAGAAAGCGUAAUAGCUCACUGGUCGAGUCGGCCUGCGCGGAAGAUGUAACGGGGCUAAACCAUGCACCGAAGCUGCGGCAGCGACGCUGAUGCGUUGUUGGGUAGGGGAGCGUUCUGUAAGCCUGUGAAGGUGUGUCGUGAGGCAUGCUGGAGGUAUCAGAAGUGCGAAUGCUGACAUAAGUAACGAUAAAGCGGGUGAAAAGCCCGCUCGCCGGAAGACCAAGGGUUCCUGUCCAACGUUAAUCGGGGCAGGGUGAGUCGACCCCUAAGGCGAGGCCGAAAGGCGUAGUCGAUGGGAAACGGGUUAAUAUUCCCGUACUUGGUGUUACUGCGAAGGGGGGACGGAGAAGGCUAUGUUGGCCGGGCGACGGUUGUCCCGGUUUAAGCGUGUAGGUGUGUGUUCCAGGUAAAUCCGGUUCACUUUAACACUGAGGCGUGAUGACGAGGCACUACGGUGCUGAAGCAACAAAUGCCCUGCUUCCAGGAAAAGCCUCUAAGCAUCAGGUAACAUCAAAUCGUACCCCAAACCGACACAGGUGGUCAGGUAGAGAAUACCAAGGCGCUUGAGAGAACUCGGGUGAAGGAACUAGGCAAAAUGGUGCCGUAACUUCGGGAGAAGGCACGCUGACACGUAGGUGAAGUGAUUUACUCAUGGAGCUGAAGUCAGUCGAAGAUACCAGCUGGCUGCAACUGUUUAUUAAAAACACAGCACUGUGCAAACACGAAAGUGGACGUAUACGGUGUGACGCCUGCCCGGUGCCGGAAGGUUAAUUGAUGGGGUCAGCGCAAGCGAAGCUCCUGAUCGAAGCCCCGGUAAACGGCGGCCGUAACUAUAACGGUCCUAAGGUAGCGAAAUUCCUUGUCGGGUAAGUUCCGACCUGCACGAAUGGCGUAAUGAUGGCCAGGCUGUCUCCACCCGAGACUCAGUGAAAUUGAACUCGCUGUGAAGAUGCAGUGUACCCGCGGCAAGACGGAAAGACCCCGUGAACCUUUACUAUAGCUUGACACUGAACAUUGAGCCUUGAUGUGUAGGAUAGGUGGGAGGCUUUGAAGUGUGGACGCCAGUCUGCAUGGAGCCGACCUUGAAAUACCACCCUUUAAUGUUUGAUGUUCUAACGUGGACCCGUAAUCCGGGUUGCGGACAGUGUCUGGUGGGUAGUUUGACUGGGGCGGUCUCCUCCUAAAGAGUAACGGAGGAGCACGAAGGUUGGCUAAUCCUGGUCGGACAUCAGGAGGUUAGUGCAAUGGCAUAAGCCAGCUUGACUGCGAGCGUGACGGCGCGAGCAGGUGCGAAAGCAGGUCAUAGUGAUCCGGUGGUUCUGAAUGGAAGGGCCAUCGCUCAACGGAUAAAAGGUACUCCGGGGAUAACAGGCUGAUACCGCCCAAGAGUUCAUAUCGACGGCGGUGUUUGGCACCUCGAUGUCGGCUCAUCACAUCCUGGGGCUGAAGUAGGUCCCAAGGGUAUGGCUGUUCGCCAUUUAAAGUGGUACGCGAGCUGGGUUUAGAACGUCGUGAGACAGUUCGGUCCCUAUCUGCCGUGGGCGCUGGAGAACUGAGGGGGGCUGCUCCUAGUACGAGAGGACCGGAGUGGACGCAUCACUGGUGUUCGGGUUGUCAUGCCAAUGGCACUGCCCGGUAGCUAAAUGCGGAAGAGAUAAGUGCUGAAAGCAUCUAAGCACGAAACUUGCCCCGA
rnacentral:rRNA from 1 species